UACGGGGGAUGCAAGUGUUAUCCGGAAUCAUUGGGCGUAAAGCGUCUGUAGGUGGUUGACCAAGUCUGUUGUUAAAAAUCAGGGCUUAACCCUGAUCCGGCAACAGGAACUAGUAAACUUGAGUACGGUAGGGGCAGAGGGAAUUCUCGGUGUAGUGGUGAAAUACGUAGAUAUCGAGAAGAACACCAAUAGCGAAAGCACUCUGCUGGGCCGAAACUGACAUUGAGAGACGAAAGCUAGGGGAGCAAAAGGG
rnacentral:rRNA from 1 species